UGAGUACGAGAUGCUACGGCAUCGAAGCAGUCUAUGUCAUACUUCCAAGAAAAGCUUGCAAUGUCAUAAACAAAUAAUGCCUGUACCAUAACCGACACAGGUGGGUAGGUAGAGUAUACUAAGGGGCGCGAUAUAACUCUCUCUAAGGAACUCGGCAAAAUGACUCCGUAACUUCGGGAGAAGGAGUGCCUUAUUUUUAUAAGGUUGCAAUAACAAGAUCCAAGCAACUGUUUACCAAAAACACAGGUCUCCGCUAAGUCGUAAGACGAUGUAUGGGGGCUGACGCCUGCCCAGUGCCAGAAGGUUAAAGAAGUUGGUUAGCAUUAGCGAAGCUGAUAACUGAAGCCCUGGUGAACGGCGGCCGUAACAAUAACGGUCCUAAGGUAGCGAAAUUCCUUGUCGGGUAAGUUCCGACCCGCACGAAAGGCGUAAUGAUUUGGAUACUGUCUCGGAGAGGGGCUCGGUGAAAUAGACUUGUCUGUGAAGAUGCGGACUACCUGCACCUGGACAGAAAGACACUAUGAAGCUUUACUGUAACUUGAGAUUGAAAUUGGACUUUAUCUGCGCAGUAUAGGUGGGAGACGUUGAAAAUAUUCUUGCGGGAAUAUUGGAGUCAUCAGUGAGAUACCACUCUUAUAAUGUUAGAUUUCUAACUUUGUAUCAUUAUCUGGUCAAAGAACAGUUUCAGGCGGGCAGUUUGACUGGGGCGGUCGCCUCCCAAACGGUAACGGAGGCGCGCAAAGGUUUCCUCUGAACGUGUAGAAAUCGUAUCUAGAGUGUAAAGGCAUAAGGAAGCUUGACUGUGAGACCUACAAGUCGAGCAGGGACGAAAGUCGGUCUUAGUGAUCUGACGGUGCUGAGUGGAAAGGCCGUCACUCAACGGAUAAAAGUUACUCUAGGACAACAGGCUGAUCUCCCCCAAGAGUUCACAUCGACGGGGAGGUUUGGCACCUCGAUGUCGGCUCAUCGCAUCCUGGGGCGGUAGUACGUCCCAAGGGUUGGGCUGUUCGCCCAUGAAAGCGGUACGCGAGCUGGGUUCAGAACGUCGUGAGACAGUUCGGUCCAUAUCCGGUGUAGGCGUUAGAAUAUUGAGAGGAGCCUUCUUUAGUACGAGAGGACCGAGAAGGACAUACCUCUGGUGUACCAGUUAUCGUUUCAACGGUAAACGCUGGGUAGCCAUGUAUGGAGAGGAUAACCGCUGAAAGCAUCUAAGUGGGAAGCCCACCUCGAGAUAAGUAUUCUCAC
rnacentral:rRNA from 1 species